rnacentral:rRNA from 1 species
GACGAACGCUGGCGGCGUGCUUAACACAUGCAAGUCGAGCGGUAAGGCCCUUUGGGGUACACGAGCGGCGAACGGGUGAGUAACACGUGAGUAAUCUGCCUUUGGCUUGGGAAUAACUUCGGGAAAUCGGGGCUAAUGCCUGAUGUUUACUGUCUGCUGCAUGGUGGGUGGUGGAAAGAUUUUUUGGCCAGGGAUGAGCUCGCGGUCUAUCAGCUUGUUGGUGGGGUAAUGGCUACCAAGGCUUUGACGGGUAGCCGGCCUGAGAGGGUGUUCGGCCACACUGGGACUGAGACACGGCCCAGACUCCUACGGGAGGCAGCAGGUGGGGAAUAUUGCGCAAUGGGCGUAAGCCUGACGCAGCGACGCCGCGUGGGGAUGAAGGCC